CUUGUCAGUCCUGACUUGCAUCUUGUCAUCUUUUUCUUUCUUCACAGAUCCAGUUCUUCAGGUCCCCACACAUGUGGCAGAACCAGCGUUUCUGCCUGACCCCAAUGAUGGCAGCCUGUACUCUCUGGGAGGAAAGAACAACGAAGGCCUCACAAAAUUACCGUUCACUAUCCCUGAGUUGGUCCAAGCUUCCCCCUGCCGCAGCUCUGACGGAGUCCUUUACAUGGGUAAGGCUAAUUCAC